AAGGCAAACUAGUCUAUCGCUGUUCCAAAUGGAAGAGAGGAAAGUCUGGGCAGUAAAGAGCACCGUACUUCCUAACGGGAAGGGUUCGUUUUAACGAAUACAGAAAGUGCCGCAGAAAAUAAACUACCUCGUUUACGAGGAAAAGGUGAAAAGGCGAGGUAAGAGCUCACCGCGCUUGUGGCGACAUGAGUGGCAGGGUAAACCUUACGGACUGAAAGAUCAUGUAUACCGAGGCGCACAGAAAUGUGCUAAGAAUUGCUCGUUCGACUCGGAGGGUAGAUCGAUAGAUGCUAAAGGUGACUUUAGUACUGGAUAAAUGAUAGACACCUUUUUAAGGACACAGAACCCGGCUUAUGGUUUGCCUUUUUU
rnacentral:RNase_P_RNA from 1 species